rnacentral:rRNA from 1 species
AGCGGCGGACGGGUGAGUAAUGCCUAGGAAUCUGCCCGAUAGUGGGGGACAACGUUUCGAAAGGAACGCUAAUACCGCAUACGUCCUACGGGAGAAAGCAGGGGACCUUCGGGCCUUGCGCUAUCGGAUGAGCCUAGGUCGGAUUAGCUAGUUGGUGGGGUAAAGGCUCACCAAGGCGACGAUCCGUAACUGGUCUGAGAGGAUGAUCAGUCACACUGGAACUGAGACACGGUCCAGACGACCUACGGGAGGCAGCAGUGGGGAAUAUUGGACAAUGGGCGAAAGCCUGAUCCAGCCAUGCCGCGUGUGUGAAGAAGGUCUUCGGAUUGUAAAGCACUUUAAGCUGGGAGGAAGGGCAGUAAGCUAAUACCUUGCUGUUUUGACGUUACCAGCAGAAUAAGCACCGGCUAACUUCGUGCCAGCAGCCGCGGUAAUACGAAGGGUGCAAGCGUUAAUCGGAAUUACUGGGCGUAAAGCGCGCGUAGGUGGUUCAGCAAGUUGGAUGUGAAAGCCCCGGGCUCAACCUGGGAACUGCAUCCAAAACUACUGGGCUAGAGUAUGGUAGAGGGUGGUGGAAUUUCCUGUGUAGCGGUGAAAUGCGUAGAUAUAGGAAGGAACACCAGUGGCGAAGGCGACCACCUGGACUAAUACUGACACUGAGGUGCGAAAGCGUGGGGAGCAAACAGGAUUAGAUACCCUGGUAGUCCACGCCGUAAACGAUGUCAACUAGUUGUUGGGUUCCUUGAGGACUUAGUAACGAAGCUAACGCGAUAAGUUGACCGCCUGGGGAGUACGGCCGCAAGGUUAAAACUCAAAUGAAUUGACGGGGGCCCGCACAAGCGGUGGAGCAUGUGGUUUAAUUCCGAAGCAACGCGAAGAACCUUACCUGGCCUUGACAUGCUGA